AGCCAGGUAGCGGAGCGGUAACGCGUGCGAGACAAAUACAGACACCCAUAACGUUUCCUCGCAAGGUCUCCGUUCGAUUCGGGGUCUGGCCU